rnacentral:rRNA from 1 species
AAGACAGCGAUGUCUAGGGGUUCUGAGAGGAAUAUCCCCCACACUGGUACUGAGACACGGACCAGACUCCUACGGGAGGCAGCAGUAAGGAAUAUUGGUCAAUGGGCGAAAGCCUGAACCAGCCAUGCCGCGUGCAGGAUGAAGGCCCUAUGGGUUGUAAACUGCUUUUAUGUAGGAAGAAACUCCUGUACGUGUACAGGACUGACGGUACUACACGAAUAAGGACCGGCUAACUCCGUGCCAGCAGCCGCGGUAAUACGGAGGGUCCAAGCGUUAUCCGGAUUCAUUGGGUUUAAAGGGUGCGCAGGCGGACCGAUAAGUCAGUGGUGAAAUCCUACAGCUCAACUGUAGAACUGCCAUUGAUACUGUCGAUCUUGAGUAUAGUUGAAGUGGGCGGAAUGUAUCAUGUAGCGGUGAAAUGCAUAGAUAUGAUACAGAACUCCGAUAGCGAAGGCAGCUCACUAACCUAUAACUGACGCUCAGGCACGAAAGCGUGGGGAGCAAACAGGAUUAGAUACCCUGGUAGUCCACGCCGUAAACGAUGAUCACUCGUUGUUGGCGAUACACAGUCAGCGACUGAACGAAAGCAUUAAGUGAUCCACCUGGGAAGUACGAUCGCAAGGUUGAAACUCAAAGGAAUUGACGGGGGCCCGCACAAGCGGAGGAGCAUGUGGUUUAAUUCGAUGAUACGCGAGAAACCUUACCUGGGCUUAAAUGUAUAAUGACCGACUGGGAACCAGUCUUCUCUUCGGAGCAUUUUACAAGGUGCUGCAUGGUUGUCGUCAGCUCGUGCCGUGAGGUGUCGGGUUAAGUCCCAUAACGAGCGCAACCCCUAUUCUUAGUUGCCAUCAGAUAAUCUGGGGACUCUAAGGAAACUGCCUACGCAAGUAGUGAAAGGUGGGGAUGACGUCAAAUCAGCACGGCCCUUAUGUCCAGGGCUACACACGUGCUACAAUGGUCGGUACAGAGGGUCGCUACCUGGUGACAGGAUGCUAAUCUCGAAAACCGAUCUCAGUUCGGAUCGAAGUCUGCAACUCGACUUCGUGAAGCUGGAUUCGCUAGUAAUCGCAUAUCAGCAAUGGUGCGGUGAAUACGUUCCCGGGCCUUGUACAUACCGCCCGUCAGGCCAUGGAAGCUGGGGGUACCUGAAGUCUGUGACCGCAAGGAGCGGCCUAGGGUAAAACUAGUAACUGGGGCUAAGUCGUAACAAGGUA